ensembl:lncRNA
AGUGGUUAGAGUGUAGAGGUGGCAGGUAGCCUAGUGGUUAGAGUGUAGAGGUGGCAGGUAGCCUAGUGGUUAGAGUGUAGAGGAGGCAGGUAGCCUAGUGGUUAGACUGUAGAGGUGGCAGGUAGUCUAGUGGUUAGAGUGUAGAGGUGGCAGGUAGCCUAGUGGUUAGAGUGUAGAGGUGGCAGGUAGCCUAGUGGUUAGAGUGUAGAGGAGGCAGGUAGCCUAGUGGUUAGAGUGUAGAGGUGGCAGGUAGCCUAGUGGUUAGAGUGUAGAGGAGGCAGGUAGCCUAGUGGUUAGAGUGUAGAGGCGGCAGGUAGUCUAGUGGUUAGAGUGUAGAGGCGGCAGGUAGCCUAGUGGUUAGAGUGUAGAGGCGGCAGGUAGUCUAGUGGUUAGAGUGUAGAGGCGGCAGGUAGUCUAGUGGUUAGAGUGUAGAGGCGGCAGGUAGUCUAGUGGUUAGAGUGUAGAGGCGGCAGGUAGCCUAGUGGUUAGAGUCUAGAGGAGGCAGGUAGUCUAGUGGUUAGAGUGUAGAGGCGGCAGGUAGUCUAGUGG